rnacentral:rRNA from 1 species
CCCCGUGGAGCUUUACUGCAACCUGAUAUGGAAUGUUUGUACCGCUUGUACAGGAUAGGUAGGAGCCGAAGAGACGUGUGCGCUAGCAUACGAGGAGGCAAGGGUGGGAUACUCCCCUGGCUGUAUGCCCAUUCUAACCCGCCACGCUUAGCGCGUGGGGAGACAGUGUCAGGUGGGCAGUUUGACUGGGGCGGUCGCCUCCUAAAGAGUACCGGAGGCGCCCAAAGGUUCCCUCAGAAUG